GAGUUUGAUCCUGGCUCAGGAUGAACGCUGGCGGCGUGCCUAACACAUGCAAGUCGAGCGAUUUACUUCGGUAAAGAGCGGCGGACGGGUGAGUAACGCGUGGGUAACCUGCCUCAUACACAUGGAUAACAUACCGAAAGGUAUGCUAAUACAAGAUGAUAUAAGAGAUUCGCAUGGAUUUCUUAUCAAAGCUUUUGCGGUAUGAGAUGGACCCGCGUCUGAUUAGCUAGUUGGUAAGGUAACGGCUUACCAAGGCGACGAUCAGUAGCCGACCUGAGAGGGUGAUCGGCCACAUUGGAACUGAGACACGGUCCAAACUCCUACGGGAGGCAGCAGUGGGGAAUAUUGCACAAUGGGCGAAAGCCUGAUGCAGCAACGCCGCGUGAGCGAUGAAGGCCUUCGGGUCGUAAAGCUCUGUCCUCAAGGAAGAUAAUGACGGUACUUGAGGAGGAAGCCCCGGCUAACUACGUGCCAGCAGCCGCGGUAAUACGUAGGGGGCUAGCGUUAUCCGGAUUUACUGGGCGUAAAGGGUGCGUAGGUGGUUUCUUAAGUCAGGAGUGAAAGGCUACGGCUCAACCGUAGUAAGCUCUUGAAACUGGGAAACUUGAGUGCAGGAGAGGAAAGUGGAAUUCCUAGUGUAGCGGUGAAAUGCGUAGAUAUUAGGAGGAACACCAGUAGCGAAGGCGGCUUUCUGGACUGUAACUGACACUGAGGCACGAAAGCGUGGGGAGCAAACAGGAUUAGAUACCCUGGUAGUCCACGCCGUAAACGAUGAGUACUAGGUGUCGGGGGUUACCCCCCU
rnacentral:rRNA from 1 species